UUAGUCUGCAGAGUGAAUUCCAGCCCAGUCAGGGCUGAACAAUGAGACCCUGUCUGAAAAACAAGAAAAUGCAAACGUAGCAACUUGUUUCUCUCUCCUCAUGUUUUACAUCUUCUAUUUUUAUCUUUUUUUUAUUAUUAAAAUGAAUUUUUGAAGAAUCAUUAGGCUCUUUGGGAGCCAUUUUAUUUAGAAAAAAAUCAUAAAAUAUUUGAGAUGAGAUGCUGUAAGAUUACUUCAGUUGCUGGGAUUUUUUUAAAGAUGAUUUUAGAUUUAUGCUUUUUUCAAAAAAGAAGAAAUGCCAUAUUCAGGCAUUAUGGGUAACUGUGGCUUCAGGUGGCAUAGUGACUAGUUUUACUAAUCCUGUGUCUGAUAUCUGAUUUUGGAAGAGUCCAUAGACCCCCUUAGAUUCAGCAGACGGGAUGGAUUAUAAGUAGUGUGUAGCCCCUUUCUUAUUCUAUGUGAGCUUCCGUUCUGCGGUGGCCCAGCCUGUCUGCCGCCGCCGUGUGGUGCUCGCUGUGUAGAUGAGAACACUGGAAGAUGAUCUGAAUGUAGGUAGAACGGAGGCGUGGGUCCUUACAGCCUUCGUGGGAGCUGUGCCCUCCACACAGAUGUUGCUGUAGAGGGACACAUUGCAACACAGUGUGUAGGGACAGUUUUGUGUGAUUUACGGGUGAGCUUUUGGGUUCACCGAGAACUGUUUACUUCCCAUGUAUUUGUACAAAGUCCGUGUCCCCAGACCUCAGUGUUAGCUCCUCCCAUGGUCUUGAACCUCCAAAGCCCCAGCCUAGGGCUCUUUUGCAGGUGUUGGAAGAACCCAAACCAUCUUAAAUGGAGUGCCCACACCCCUUCCCAGUCCCACCAGACCUUUUCCCUCAAACCUUGCAGGAAGUUCUGCCAGCCUACCCUGGCCCACCCCUAGCAUGGAGGUGCGUAUCUCUUCCCCUUCUGCACUGGGGCCAGAUGCCUAAGAAGGAAAGGAGACCGUGUUUCCCAAACUCAGUGCAUCGCAUCCCCGACCUAGAAGACUGAGUUGCCCGGGGCAGUCAUAAAACCCUUGUGGGACAUUACAGACGUGAUAACUUUAAUGGCUUAAUAUUUUGCUACAUUAAUAUGCAGAGGUGAUAGAAAUAAUCUAUGAAUUUUCUCAUAAAGAUAAGAACUUUAGUUCUAGUAGACCACAUGAUAUAAUUUUGCAUGUACCCAAUGGGCAUUCAAUUUUCAAUGCUAUAAAGCUUCUGUCCUCUGUCAUUCUCAGAUUAUUUAUGCUAUAACUGUAAACCUAAAUUAUUGACAUUGAGAAGUGCGCAGAGACUUUGUGGCACACACGAAUCUCCUUAUAAGAAGUGAGGGGAGGGGCCCCGCGGAGAACAAGGCAACCUUCUUGUGCCCAGGAAGAAGGUAAUGGGCAGCCAGAAGAGUCCCCUUCCCCCCUCACUUGGCCUCUCUCUAAUGCCUUAGUUACACACACACACACACACACACACACACACACACACGCUACCCCAAAGAUGGCUGUGGCACUCUCUCACUGCUUCCACUGGUUGGAGAGAAUUCCAUGGGAUUUGUUCUGGUCUUGAGGAUGUAACCGAGAGGAUUCCAAGCCAUGUGAAAAUUGUCCUGCUUUCCAGAAAGUGGAGUGUGGCCCUGCAACAUCAGAAGCACAAUCGGCCAUUGAGUUUUUACAAGUCCCAUCUCGUCACAUCUGAGAAAUGGCGGGCUCUAGGAACUGAGCGGGACUUUUUGUAACCCAGAGUGUGUUAAAUUCUGGGAACCUGUAUUUUGGUUUCCUUAAUACUUUAACUAUGUAGGGCUUCUCUCCUCCCAACCCCCACCUCCACCCCCAGUCCCAUCAUCCCUUCAGUGAAAAAGAGCUGGUCACUCUGGGAGCUGUUUCCUGCCCACUGGACCGUAUGGUGUCCUCACUCACCCAUCCGUACAGGGAGUUCCAGUGGGCAUUUUUUUUUCAUGAAGCAAUAUAAAUAUAAAAUACUUAUUUUUUCAGAAUUUAAUGGUUUUCAUGAAAUCUGUUGGCAACUACUUUCCCUGUCCUCAUCUAAAUUCUUUGUUUGUGUUUUGGAUGAUUUUUGCCUUGUAUCCAGAGGACUAAAGAUUAGCCCCGAUAUUCUGAUGUUCACUAAAAUAGUAUGUCACAGUAGGUGGUAGUGGUCUUGGUUUUCUCUGUUAGUAAGCUGUUAAAGAAUGUCUGAAGAUACUCUUGAAUGUACAGUGUUCGAAUCCUGCUUUUAUUCAUGUGGCCGUGUCUGUCUGAUGGCAAACGUUUGUCAGGGAAUCAAUGUCUAGUGUCGUUAGUGCUCGCUGCCCUUCCCCUUCAGUGUUGAACCCCAAACCUUCCUUUCCUUUUAAGUUAGGAAGUGAGGGGUUCAUAUCAGCAGCAAUCAUCAACUGACCAAUGGGAUCUACUUAGUGGCGACUGGAUUUGGCCUGAUCACACCACAGUGUGGCCAUUUGGGUCCUUGUAGAGAUUGUCUCGGUUUCUACUAUCCCCCCAGCAACUGCUUCCUACCUGAUCCAGAGGGACCUGGAGACCCCUAGUUGGAGGUCACUGGGUCAUUCUGAAGUGGGGGGUGAGGGCCCAAGGGCUGUCACUGCUGUGGGCAGUCUUUGUCUCUUGUAGAUCCAGCCUUAAUGUCUGACAUCCCAGGAAGCGCAGACCCUGCACAAAGUGGAUAUCAGAGCGAUACUGUGAGGAGUAAGUAAGGAGCAUAGGUUUACCAAAGAGAAUGAGCUAGCACAUCAUGUCUGCCUGUUACACUGAUCUGAGUGCACCCUUAGAAAACUGAAUGUACCACAGACCCAGGACAGUUUUGGAACUUGUAUGCUCUCUAGCAACUUUGUGUGAAUUUUUAUACAAGCACUGUUUUAUUAAUUAUAUAAAAUAUAAAAAUAG
rnacentral:lncRNA from 1 species